GACUGGAUAGCCUAGUGGUAAAGACAUCACAUCGACAAUGCUGAGGUCCCAGGUUCAAAUCCUGGUCUAGUCA
rnacentral:tRNA from 1 species